rnacentral:tRNA from 1 species
CCCUGGCUGGCUCAGUCGGUAGAGCAUGCGACUCUUGAUCUUGAGGUUGUAAGUUCGAGUCCCACGUUGGGUA